GGCCAUCCCCAGCAGCAGCAUCAAAUGCCUCCACAACAAUCUCAUGUGAUUAGCAAUCCUCAUCUUCAGGGUGCCAAUCAUGCUACAGGACAGCAGCAAGCAUAUGCAAUCCGUUUUGCUAAAGAAAGGCAAAUGCAGCAGCGGCUUCUGCAGCAACAGCAGUUUGCUUCAUCUGGUGCCUUGAUGACACAUGUCCAACCUCAGCCCCAACUCCCCAUGUCUUCAUCUAUGCAAAACGGUUCCCAGGUUCAGCCACAAACUUCAUCACAACCAGUAUCACUUCCCUCAUUAACACCUUCUUCUCCUAUGACUCCCAUAUCAGUACAGCAGCAGCAGAAACAU
rnacentral:misc_RNA from 1 species